AACGAACGCUGGCGGCAUGCCUAACACAUGCAAGUCGAACGAGAUCUUCGGGUCUAGUGACGCACGGGUGCGUAACGCGUGGGAAUCUGCCCUUUGGUCCGGAAUAACAGUUGGAAACGACUGCUAAUACCGGAUGAUGACGAAAGUCCAAAGAUUUGUCGCCAGAGGAUGAGCCCGCGUAGGAUUAGCUAGUUGGUGUGGUAAAGGCGCACCAAGGCGGCGAUCCUUAGCUGGUCUGAGAGGAUGAUCAGCCACACUGGGACUGAGACACGGCCCAGACUCCUACGGGAGGCAGCAGUGGGGAAUAUUGGACAAUGGGCGAAAGCCUGAUCCAGCAAUGCCGCGUGAGUGAUGAAGGCCUUAGGGUUGUAAAGCUCUUUUACCCGGGAUGAUAGUGACAGUACCGGGAGAAUAAGCUCCGGCUAACUCCGUGCCAGCCGCCGCGGUAA
rnacentral:rRNA from 1 species